rnacentral:rRNA from 1 species
AUACGGAGGGUGCAAGCGUUAUCCGGAUUCACUGGGUUUAAAGGGUGCGUAGGCGGGCGUGUAAGUCAGCGGUGAAAUCCCCGAGCUUAACUUGGGAACUGCCGUUGAUACUAUAUGUCUUGAAUGUCGUGGAGGUUAGCGGAAUAUGUCAUGUAGCGGUGAAAUGCUUAGAUAUGACAUAGAACACCCAUUGCGAAGGCAGCUAACUACGCGAAUAUUGACGCUGAGGCACGAAAGCGUGGGGAUCAAACAGGAUUAGAUACCCUGGUAGUCCACGCCCUAAACGAUGAUUACUCGACAUUGGCGAUACACAGUCAGUGUCUGAGCGAAAGCAUUAAGUAAUCCACCUGGGAAGUACGACCGCAAGGUUGAA